rnacentral:precursor_RNA from 16 species
UAUCUGCCCAUAUGAGUGAGGCACUGGGACUACUGCAUCAGGAACUGAUUGGAUGGGAUACAAAUCAAUCUGUUCCUCAUGCAUGGCUCACAGUGCUGUCUUGUACAUCCUAAACAGG